CUAGCUCAGCCAAAGACGUGUUUCACAGCACCAUGCAUUAGUGCCCCAGAAAUACCAUCGCAUGAGGGGAGCAUAGAUCUUCCCAGCCCCUUGUAUGUAAACACAAUCUAUAACUAAGAGGGCCAAUCAACACAGAUGGUAACAACCAGAAGAAAUACUUUCCCUUCAGCCUUUUAUAUCUCUAAUCCCAUAUAACACUUUCCCCUCUUCCCAGCUUCUAAUAAAGUUGCUUUGAC
rnacentral:lncRNA from 1 species